UAGUAAACCUUAACAGAAACUGGGUCAGAGUCCACCAACCAAAAUAAUGAAAGAAGCCUCAAGCGCAAGCCUGAAGACAACACAACCUCAUAUUCAUAGCAGAAGGACAUUACAGGCACGCAGGUCUAAUUCAAGACUAAAACGCUAAAUCCAUUUCAAAGCAUUGUUAUUUACACCAAAUCCAAAUCCAAAUCCAAAUCCAAUCCAUUUAAUCUAAGGGUCGGACUUUGAUAAUUUAUUUUGUCCAAAUUUUGCUUGAUUCUCUUCUUCCAACCAACAUUUCUCUUCAUUAAAUUCAGGACAGGGACUCCACGCAGGACGCUUUAGCUUAAGAGGGAGAAAACGGUAACAAAGAGAGAAGUUGAAGCUUCUCUUAACACUUAUAAUCGUUCCGAUCACCGACAAAGCUGUAAGAGAGGGAGACCAGAUCGGAAAAUAGUGACACGUUUGCUUGCCAGUGGAUAAAGGCUUACCUCUCUAGCAACCUUCAGUGGCACCAACCGGUGGAAGUGGCGACAGCGGCGUUGCGGGAGCAGAUCAAGUGAAUUGCCACUAUGCAACGGAUUCCUGUGACAAUUGAGGAGCAGCUUAUUUUUAAAGCAAUAAAAGAGGAAUGUCCAUGGGAGAAUCUCCCCAAGAGGCUUCAAGCAACUCUCACUUCUAAAGAAGAAUGGCACAGAAGAAUAGUUGAACACUGCAUAAAGAAAAGACAACCAUGGAACACCUGUUUUGCUCGCAAAGUGUGCAAAGAAGGUGAAUAUUAUGAAGACAUGAUGCGUUACUUGCGAAAGAAUCUGGCGCUAUUCCCCUAUCACCUUGCAGAUUAUGUUUGCCGUGUGAUGAGGAUAUCAGCUUUUAGAUAUUACUGUGAUAUGAUAUUCGAGGUCAUGAAAAAUGAGCAACCAUACGACAGCAUCCCGAAUUUUAGCGCUGCAGAUGCCUUACGGCUUACUGGAAUUGGGAGAAAUGAAUUUAUUGAUAUCAUGAACAAGUGCAGAUCUAAGAAAAUUAUGUGGAAGCUGAACAAGUCCAUUGCAAAAGAACUUUUACCUACACAACCUGUGGACUUUGCAAUUGAACCGUGGUGGGGAGUCUGUCUUGUCAACUUUACCCUGGAAGAAUUUAAGAAACUCUCAGAAGAAGAGACGGCAACAAUAGAUAAAGUUUGUAAGGAGGAAGCUAAUGAAUAUAUCCUGUUUGAUCCUGACAUUGUAAAAGGUCUGUACCGACGAGGAUUAAUCUACUUUGAUGUUCCUGUCUACCCUGAUGACCGUUUUAAAGUUUCCAGGCUUGAAGGGUUUGUUUCAAAUAGGGAUCAGUCUUAUGAGGAUCCUAUCGAGGAGUUGCUCUAUGCAGUUUUUGUUGUUUCAAGUGAGAAUGCUACUGUUGCUGAACUGGCAACAACUUUGCAGGCUGACCUUUCUCAGUUGCAGGCUGCUGCAUCCUUUGCUUGUCGACUGGGAUGGGCAGUGAAAUUGAUUGAUCCAGGAGCCAUUCUUCAAGAUACAAGUAUACCUGGCUCUCCUAAAAUUGCUCUCAGUGAUGAAGAAGAUGCUGCUCGUGCUAGCAUAAGUGCAGCAAAUGUGUUCGCUGACGGUGAUGUUGCUCAGCAAGGAGAUAUUUCAGGAAUUGAAAACUAUGGGCUGCAGUCCAGCCAUGCUCGUGUUGCUUUUAUCGUUGAUGCUAAUAUAACUUCCUAUCUUAUGAUGGGAUCGGUUUCACCAGGCCUGAAAUCUCAUGCUGUAACAUUAUACGAGGCAGGGAAGUUAGGUCAUGCUAGCAUUGCUGAUCUUUGCAAGGAUCUGAGUACAUUAGAGGGAGCAAAAUUUGAGGGAGAAUUGCAGGAAUUUGCAAAUCAUGCAUUUAGCCUUCGUUGUGUCUUGGAAUGUCUGCUAUCAGGUGGAAUUGCUUCUAAUGAAAAAGUGGAGGUAGUUUGCAAUAAGAUGGGCACAUUGGCUUCGAGCGAUGAAGAGGCUACUACUUUGAUAGCUGAUGUCUCAUUGACUGACAAAUUAGGACACUCUGGUGCCAAUGAAACUGAUGCAGAGAUUGAUAAUUCUGUGAAUUCAGGGAUGCCUCAGGAUGAUUCUCAUAUGGCUGAAUAUGUUACCGGAAGCACUGCUGAUGAAACAUCUACUUUCUUAUCUGAAGACCAUAAUUCCAUAAGUGAGAUCUCUAAGUCAGAACUUAAUGUCCAGAAUGAUGUGAAAGUUGAAGAGUCUGAUGUUGGAAGAGGAACUUUAAGGAGGAAAAGGAAAUACCGAGUGGAUAUUCUUCGUUGUGAAAGCUUGGCUGCUCUAGCACCAGAAACUUUAGAUAGGCUAUUUCUUCGUGAUUAUGAUAUUGUUGUCUCUAUAAUUCCUCUUCCUCCUUCAUCAGUUCUUCCUGGACCAAAAGGUCCCAUUCAUUUUGGUCCUCCUUGUCAUUCAUCUUUGACACCAUGGAUGAAAUUGGUUCUUUAUUCAAGUGUGGGUAGUGGGCCUUUGUCUGUUGUUCUGAUGAAAGGACAAUGUUUACGCUUGCUUCCUGCACCAUUGGCUGGUUGUGAAAAAGCCCUUAUAUGGUCUUGGGAUGGUUCUAUAAUUGGAGGGUUGGGAGGCAAAUUUGAGGGGAAUUUAGUUAAGGGAGGUGUACUUUUACAUUGUUUAAAUUCACUUCUUAAAUACUCGGCUGUCCUAGUGCAGCCCCUCAGUAGGUAUGACCUUGAUGAAUCUGGAAGAGUCAUUACUAUGGACAUACCAUUGCCCCUCAACAACUCUGAUGGUUCAAUUACUCACAUAGAGAAUGAAUUGGUUUUAUCUGAAGAUGAGAGAUUGAAAUUGAAUUCCCUGUUAACUCAUUUGACAAAUAAGAUGGGAUUGUCAACAAUUGGUUAUGUUCACAUGUUGAAGCUUUUUAAUGAAAGAGAGUCGGACCACUUUGCACCUGAUGAUCAGAAUUAUGAAUGGGUACCACUAAGUGUGGAAUUUGGGAUGCCCCUUUUUAGUCCAAAAUUAUGUAACAAUAUAUGUAAAAGGGUUGUAUCAUCUGAGUUGCUUCAAUCAGAUUCUUUUACUGGGCAUCAUGAUGCAAUGCAAGGCCUGCGGAAAAGGUUGCGUGAUGUUUGUGCAGAGUAUCAAGCAACAGGUCCUGCUGCCAAACUUCUUUACCAGAAAGAGCAGUCAAAGGACUCAUCUCGACAUCUUAUGAACUAUGCUAGUGGAAGAUGGAAUCCCCUUGUGGACCCUUCUUCUCCCAUUUCAGGAGCCAUGAGCGAGCAUCAGAGAUUAAAACUUGCUAAUCGGCAACGUUGUCGUACCGAAGUUCUGAGUUUUGAUGGUAGCAUUCUAAGGUCCUAUGCUCAAACUCCAGUUUAUGAGGCUGCCACAAGGCCUAUUGAAGAAACUCCACUGGUGAAUCCAAUAAAAGUUGAUCCUGAUGAAGCCGAUAGUAAGGAAGUGGUUCUUCCAGGUGUCAAUCUUAUUUUUGACGGUUCUGAACUUUAUCCCUUUGAUAUAGGCGCUUGCCUGCAGGCCCGGCAACCAAUUUCCUUGAUUUCAGAGGCUGCAGCUGCCUCAGCUUCUGCUGCAAUUAAAUAGAGCUCUUUCUGCAAUAAUCCUGCUUGGAUUGGAUAGAUAAAAGACUAUGUCUGCAUACAAAAAAUAGGAAGUUGUGAAACAUUGGGUUCCUCAUACCAGCUUUAUUGUAAUUGUUUGGUCCACCUGUUGCUUUGAGACUGCUUAUCGUGCACAGGCUCGGGCUUAUGUCUGAGGUGGAAUUUUUGGCUGAAGCUCUAAUGGUAGUGUGCAAAACAGUAAAAGGAGAAGAAUGAUGGUUUUCGUGAAUGUAUGAAGCAUUCAAUGCUUGAAAGAUGGCAGGCCCUGACACUACUGCUAACCAACAAUAGGAAGAGUAAAACAUGUUCAAUUUCCCUGAAUGUCUAAUUAUGAAGUAAACCUGCACAUAAUUUUUUGGUUUGAUGAUUUCUAGUAGUACGCAUAAGAGGGGGGAAUUUUCAGCGUGAAGCAGUGAAAAAUUUUUACCUAUCACAUAAAAGAAUUGUUUCUGGUAAAGUGAAUAUGUAUUUCCCUUAUUGCAAUUUUGUUAGUGUAAUGAUUAGUCGAGCUUGUCUUUC